ACCACGGUCGCUUGGUGGAGAGUAUCGGCUAAUUAGACACCACAAAUGUAUAAAACACACAAAGCACAUAAACAAACAUCAAACAACAAUCCAAAAACCAAAAUAAUAAUAUCCAGUGCAAUUAUUACAACCCGAAAUGAAAAAAAAAGGUACUGAAAAAUAAACCUACGCUAACCUACACUAAUCCUAAACUACGAUCCAAUACCUUACCAGAUGCUUCGGGCCUUCAUCACAAACCUCCUUUGCGUACAUGAUAUGUUGGGGCAUUUCCCGGUGAAUAAAUACAAUGUGUCUC
rnacentral:lncRNA from 1 species